GGGUGCUAUCAAACUAGCAUUAAUGCACCCGAUCCCAUCAGAACUCCGCGGUUAAGCGUGCUUGGGCGAGAGUAGUACUAGGAUUGGUGACCUUUUGGGAAGUCCUCGUGUUGCAUCCC
rnacentral:rRNA from 1 species